UACAUGCUGGGAUUAAAUAGCAUUUGGCCCAAAAUUCUUGCACAGAAACAGGUAAAUACGGAUACCAUGUCACGGCGUAGGUGUACCAGACGCGCACCUCCUACCAAAAUUACCGGUAACGGAAAUACUUAAACAUGAUUGAAGCUUUUGUUGAUGGUGCCAAAAGCGGGGGAGAAUCGAUAUGGACUCCAAAGAAAUGUGCUAGAUAUGCGAUUGGGUGUAAAAUAUUUGGA
rnacentral:lncRNA from 1 species